rnacentral:rRNA from 1 species
ACGGGAGGCAGCAGUGGGGAAUAUUGGGCAAUGGGCGCAAGCCUGACCCAGCAACGCCGCGUGAAGGAAGAAGGCUUUCGGGUUGUAAACUUCUUUUAGCAGGGACGAAGGACGUGACGGUACCUGCAGAAAAAGCAACGGCUAACUACGUGCCAGCAGCCGCGGUAAUACGUAGGUUGCAAGCGUUGUCCGGAUUUACUGGGUGUAAAGGGCGUGUAGGCGGAGCUGCAAGUCAGAUGUGAAAUCCCGGGGCUUAACCCCGGAACUGCAUUUGAAACUGUAGCCCUUGAGUAUCGGAGAGGCAAGCGGAAUUCCUAGUGUAGCGGUGAAAUGCGUAGAUAUCAGGAGGAACACCGGUGGCGAAGGCGGAUUACUGGACGACAACUGACGCUGAGGCACGAAAGCGUGGGGAGCAAACAGGAUUAGAUACCCUGGUA